GUAGGUGGCAAGCGUUGUCCGGAAUUAUUGGGCGUAAAUCGCGCGCAGGCGGUUUUUUAAGUCUGAUGUGAAAGCCCACGGCUCAACCGCGGAGGGUCAUUGGAAACUGGAGAACUUGAGUACAGAAGAGGAAAGCGGAAUUCCACGUGUAGCGGUGAAAUGCGUAGAGAUGUGGAGGAACACCAGUGGCGAAGGCGGCUUUCUGGUCUGUAACUGACGCUGAGGCGCGAAAGCGUGGGGAGCAAACAGGGAUUAGAUACCCUGGUAGUCCACGCCGUAAACGAUGAGUGCUAAGUGUUAGGGGGUUUCCCGCCCCUUAGUGCUGCAGCUAACGCAUUAAGCACUCCGCCUGGGGAGUACGGCCGCAAGGCUG
rnacentral:rRNA from 1 species